UCACAUGAUGCGGUAAUUUGCGAUUGACCCAGCUCUGUGAAACCCUCGCCGGGGUUUCGAAAACAGGGCUGGCGUGUGAUAUUCAUUUCUUACAUAUUCUGAUA
rnacentral:snoRNA from 1 species